GUGGGCGCUACUUGCAGCGUUGCACGACUUAACGCUACAGUUUCCUUUUCCUCCACUUUUUCCUUUCCCUCCAACUUUCCAUUUCCCUCAUCUUCUCUCCCGCUUCUUUUCUCCUCUCUGCGUCUCUCUGUCUCCAUCUGAUUCAUCUGAAGUUUUGAGCUCAUUUUCAUUCCCCAUCUUCUCUCUGUCUCUGAAGGAAUCUUGGUGUUUGGUGCUUUGGAAGAUUGGAUGAUGGGUAGUUGAAGCAUAAGACCUCAACGUCUGGGCUAUCGGGCGUAAACCGGAGUACUCUCCAUUUCUGGGGAUCAAGAAGGGUGCCGUUCUACAGGAGUAUAGAGUUCCAACUGGGUACAUCGCCAGCCAGUCAUCUUCUUGCAUCAGCACCUGAAAUAUGCCGGUUAACUUGUUGGUGUUUGUAAUACUGGAAUACAACGCUUGUGUCUGUUAAAUUCCAAGGUGAAGCAACAACUUUUGAAGGAUGGAUUUAAAUGACGAUACAUUCUUCGUUCCUCUCAUGCAUGAGGGAGAAUAUGGUUACAAUGCAUAUACGACGCCGGCUUCUUUUCAUGAGAACAUUGAUUCCCAAGGCACUCAUCUCUAACCUCAAACGGAAUCCACUACUAAAAAAACUCCACGAAAAGGAAACUUUAGUGUGGAAGAAGAUAACGUACUAGUAUCGGCUUGGCUCACUACUAGUAUGGACGCAAUUCAUGGUAU